ACACACACACACACUCUGAGUCAUUGCCUACUUCCUGGCUGAAGGUUUUUAAAUCUCAAAUCAUAUCUUAUCGCCUUGUAUGAUUUCCGGGAAACCCUCUUCAUCCUUAUGGUGAAAUGGUGAUACUCUCCAAAUGAAUUACAGAGGAGAUAAAAGGACACUUGGAACUGACAACAUUUCUAUUCCACAUGGGAAGCCUAGAAAACAAAAAAGGUGCUCCAGCCCUGACAGGACAGAUGCUG